GUCUGAUGUCCCUUUAUACCACAGGCUGGACAGUCCAUGUCCUUACAACAGGCUGGACAGUCCAUGUCCUUACAACAGGCUGGACAGUCCAUGUCCUUACAACAGGCUGGACAGUCCAUGUCCUUACAACAGCAGGUAGAAGUCUGAUGUCCCUUUAUACCACAGGCUGGACAGUCCAUGUCCUUACAACAGGCUGGACAGUCCAUGUCCUUACAACAGCAGGUAGAAGUCUGAUGUCCCUUUAUACCACAGGCUGGACAGUCCAUGUCCUUACAACAGGCUGGACAGUCCAUGUCCUUACAACAGGCUGGACAGUCCAUGUCCUUACAACAGGCUGGACAGUCCAUGUCCUUACAACAGGCUGGACAGUCCAUGUCCUUACAACAGGAUGGACAGUCCAUGUCCUUACAACAGGCUGGACAGUCCAUGUCCUUACAACAGGCUGGACAGUCCAUGUCCUUACAACAGGCUGGACAGUCCAUGUCCUUACAACAGGCUGGACAGUCCAUGUCCUUACAACAGGCUGGACAGUCCAUGUCCUUACAACAGGCUGGACAGUCCAUGUCCUUACAACAGGAUGGACAGUCCAUGUCCUUACAACAGCAGGUAGAAGUCUGAUGUCCCUUUAUACCACAGGCUGGACAGUCCAUGUCCUUACAACAGGCUGGACAGUCCAUCUCCUUACAACAGGCUGGACAGUCCAUGUCCUUACAACAGGCUGGACAGUCCAUGUCCUUACAACAGCAGGUAGAAGUCUAAUGUCCCUUUUUGGGAACCCACUAAGUUACUUAUGAACUCAAUCUGAACCUUUAAGUAUUAACUAGUGGUUCUGGUGAAACAUGUCCUUUCAGUAUUAACUAGUGGUUCUGGUGAAACAGGUCCUUUAAGUAUUAACUAGUGGUUCUGGUGAAACAUGUCCUUUCAGUAUUAACUAGUGGUUCUGGUGAAACAGGUCCUUUAAGUAUUAACUAGUGGUUCUGGUGAAACAUGUCCUUUAAGUAUUAACUAGUGGUUCUGGUGAAACAGGUCCUUUAAGUAUUAACUAGUGGUUCUGGUGAAACAGGUCAUUUCAGUAUUAACUAGUGGUUCUGGUGAAACAGGUCCUUUAAGUAUCUUCACAACAUCCCCAUACAUCUUAUUACCUGUUCUGUCUGGAUGUAACAGGCUGCCUAGUAAAUUAAAUGUCUUUGGCCCCAUUACACAUGAAAAAACUAUAAGUACAAUGUUGUCCUCAUCAAUGUAACUUACAAUAACAAAAUAUUCAAACCGUUCUGUAUAUGAGGUCCUCUGGUCAAUACUUUCAUCAAACUGUUCAAUGUUUCCAACAAUUCACACCAUGUUUUUCAUUUCUCAAUAGGCUCAUGAUUGUCCUCAACCACAGCAAUAUUUUCCUCAGUC
ensembl:lncRNA